CCCACCCCCUUUUACUUCGUAGGCGUUAGAGAGUAGAGGAUAAUUUUUUUACCCCAAUCUCGUCACUCUCAUAUGCUCCCAUACCUAACACCACCUCGAUAUCGCCAUCGUCGGUCACUGCUUCCAUCUCCGACAUCACAACACCACCGCUGCUACACUACACCACUAUGGCACGAUACACUUGAAAUUUAGACUCCGAACAACGAUCUCCAUCUGUUCUCCACUCGACUUCAAUGAGGUAUGGAGAUCUUAGCAUAUCCUUGCAAUAAGUUCCUGAAACAAGAGCCGGAUUCGAGCGAGAAAAUGGAAGAAUUGUCAUGCACAAGGUUUAAUGCCACAUAUCCCAUCUUCCAGAAGAUUUGUGUUAAUGGACCAAAAUCAUCACCUUAGUACAUGUUUCCUAAAGCAAAGAAAAUGGGAGUUUGUUGGGCCAAGCAUCAAAUGGAACUUCACCAAGUUUCUAGUGGAUAAAUAAGGUAGAGUCAUAGGUCGUUAUGGGCCGACUACUUCACCAUUAUUCAUUCAGGGAACAAUUUUCCAUGCAUAUUUCUUCUAUAUUAUGCAUCACAUUGAGUGAGUUUAUUAUUAAACUUAACUUGUUUGUUACUGUUGUUGGGAGAUAUUCAUAAAACAAUGUAUGCAGAGUGAAAUGCAACUGAAUGAAUGGGGUUUGCCUUUAUAAAAUCUAUCCAAAAGUGUGAAGGGUGAAACUCUAAACUCUCCAUAAGUUCAUAGUAAUAACUAACAUGUAUGAUUGUUUUUUUUUACUUUCAUUCUCAUAGUUUUUGCUUUAAUGGUGAAUAUGUUAUGUUGAAGUUUAAUCUUAUUGUUGCAUAUUCAGUGGACUAACAAAACACCAUGAAUUUCUCAGCCACAUAGUAUCUCAACUCAAAGAGGAUGGAUGUAGAUGAUCUUAUACAUCAGUUUAGCAUGUGGGGAGAUUUCAAAGGCAACAUAUAUUAGGAUGCAUAUGUUGCCGUGAUUAUAGAGAUGGAUGCAAAGCUAUACAACCAUGUAAUCAUUUAAAAUGUUCCUCUUUUUUGUUAUCCUCAUGAUUUUUUAUUGAUUUCUGAAGAAAAGAAAAAAUGUAUAAUGUUGUGUUUUUAGUCAGAGGAUGGUUGACAUAUAAACCUUCUAAUCAUUUCGAUCAAGAAGCAAGUAAACCAGGUGAUAUGGUACAAUAUGUUGCAUCAUCUUUGUUGACUAAUGACUAGCAUUGUUGUUGACCGAUAUUAGUCGUCAUGUUAUUCUACUUUUAGUCACCAUAUUAUAUUUUUAGUUACAAUUAAUAACUAAAGUUUAAUUUACAGGUUCAAAGACGCCUUGCACAAAAUAGUGAACCAACCUGUAAAAGCCAUUUAGGGAAAGUGGUAGGGGAUAUGAAAGAGAAAUCACUUUCGUUUUCAAUUUAGAAUUCUCAAAACUGCCUUUUGUUUUAUGUUAUGAGGUUUAAACUUUGAUCUAUUUAUACAAAAAUUAAUAUGCAUAAAAUUAUCAUUUUUAGCAUGCUUUCAUUUAAAGAACUUAUUAUGAACCUUGCAUUUUGUUAUUAGCCAUGUGUUCAUUUGAAGCUAGUCGUUUAAAAAUGCUUCAUCUUGAACAAGAACUUGAACAAACUAAGACAUAGGUAAGUCAACAUUGUCUUUUCAUCUGUGCCUUAUUUUAAGAUACUUAUCUUUCCAUAUCUUCUUUUUGUCAGUUAUGUUUAGUUAUCAAACUCAUACCUAUUUUCUUAGAUAUCAUCAACAAUUUCUAGGUUGGAAUGGUGCAAAUACCAGGAAGGACUCAUGUGGACGAUUGUGGAAGCUGCAAACAAGGUAGUCAUUUCCUCAGCCUUUUAGCAAUCGUUAUCUGUUUGUUGUUGAUAUAUUUUACUUAUAUGGCUUUGAAAAUGUUUCUCGCACUUUAAGAAUCUUAGGAAUCUCAUACAUGACACAACUCAUAUCAUUAAUCUAACAUUACAUAGCAUCCCACUUAUAUUUAAUCUUUCAAUCUAAAAAUACAUCACCACUAGUAACUUACAGUUCAUGUGUAUCUAUUCUUUGGUUGUAGGAAGUAACUGAAAGUAUUAUUAAUCAAACAAGGUUGUAUUUGUUCCAGGUGAAUACUUUGGUUAUGACACCUUUUAAGUCUCGAUCAACUUGGAUAUAUAAAUCCUUCCAUUUCACAUUUGUGAAUGUACUAUUUUGUCCUCAUAUUUUAUACAUAUUUAUUUUGUUUUCCUUAUUUUAACAUUUCAAAUUCUUUAUAAAGGGGAGAAAACUCAGUAAAGACACAAUAUUGAUACAAUUAGGAAGCAUGUCAAAGUUUGCAAGAUUACAUGAAGUUUGGGGAAGAAGUUCAAAUGCAAUGAAGUGUAAAGUUUUUUUUUGUUACUUUUGUUUAGUUAAUUUUUUAUAUGUAGUGUCUAUUUGGUUCAACAUUUAACAUAUUUGGCAUUGAUGUAAAAUAGUGAAAUUUUUAUUAUUUUUUAUGGAUUAUAGUUUAAUUAGCUUUUUAAUUUUA